CCAAUUGCCAAAGCGCCUCCUUUGGCUCCCAGCCUGCCUUGCUUUCCGGUAGUCCCUUCCACUUGACAAGAUAUUCAUGCAAUGGUUCCUCGAACCUUCGUCGAAUCACCCGGUCAGUCAUGAUGCUUUCAACUUCCCUGUCAAAUGAUGUUGCAAUGACUGGAGGUGCCCGAUGUGACUCGUUCCUUAUGCGAGGCCAAUAGUAGUUAGCCCAUAUCAACG
rnacentral:lncRNA from 1 species